rnacentral:rRNA from 1 species
CCUACGGGGGGCUGCAGUGAGGAAUAGUGGUCAAUGGCCGGAAGGCUGAACCAGCCAAGUCGCGUGAGGGACGACUGCCCUAUGGGUUGUAAACCUCUUUUAUAAGGGAAGAAAAAAUGCUACGUGUAGCAUGAUGCCUGUACCUUAUGAAUAAGCAUCGGCUAACUCCGUGCCAGCAGCCGCGGUAAUACGGGGGAUGCGAGCGUUAUCCGGAGUUAUUGGGUUUCACGGGUGCGUAGGCGGUUUUUUCAGUUAGUGGUUAAACGUCGGGGCUUCCCCUUGAUUUGCCAUUUAUACUGUUAGACUCGAGUUCAUACGAGGUAGGCGGAAUCUGUUCCGUCGCGGUG